UUAAGCGACUAAGCGUACACGGUGGAUGCCCUGGCAGUCAGAGGCGAUGAAGGACGUGCUAAUCUGCGAUAAGCGUCGGUAAGGUGAUAUGAACCGUUAUAACCGGCGAUUUCCGAAUGGGGAAACCCAGUGCGAUUCGUCACACUAUCAUUAACUGAAUCCAUAGGUUAAUGAGGCGAACCGGGGGAACUGAAACAUCUAAGUACCCCGAGGAAAAGAAAUCAACCGAGAUUCCCCCAGUAGCGGCGAGCGAACGGGGAGCAGCCCAGAGCCUGAAUCAGUGUGUGUGUUAGUGGAAGCGUCUGGAAAGGCGCGCGAUACAGGGUGACAGCCCCGUACACAAAAAUGCACAUGCUGUGAGCUCGAUGAGUAGGGCGGGACACGUGGUAUCCUGUCUGAAUAUGGGGGGACCAUCCUCCAAGGCUAAAUACUCCUGACUGACCGAUAGUGAACCAGUACCGUGAGGGAAAGGCGAAAAGAACCCCGGCGAGGGGAGUGAAAAAGAACCUGAAACCGUGUACGUACAAGCAGUGGGAGCACGCUUAGGCGUGUGACUGCGUACCUUUUGUAUAAUGGGUCAGCGACUUAUAUUCUGUAGCAAGGUUAACCGAAUAGGGGAGCCGAAGGGAAACCGAGUCUUAACUGGGCGUUAAGUUGCAGGGUAUAGACCCGAAACCCGGUGAUCUAGCCAUGGGCAGGUUGAAGGUUGGGUAACACUAACUGGAGGACCGAACCGACUAAUGUUGAAAAAUUAGCGGAUGACUUGUGGCUGGGGGUGAAAGGCCAAUCAAAACCGGGAGAUAGCUGGUUCUCCCCGAAAGCUAUUUAGGUAGCGCCUCGUGAAUUCAUCUCCGGGGGUAGAGCACUGUUUCGGCAAGGGGGUCAUCCCGACUUACCAACCCGAUGCAAACUGCGAAUACCGGAGAAUGUUAUCACGGGAGACACACGGCGGGUGCUAACGUCCGUCGUGAAGAGGGAAACAACCCAGACCGCCAGCUAAGGUCCCAAAGUCAUGGUUAAGUGGGAAACGAUGUGGGAAGGCCCAGACAGCCAGUAUGUUGGCUUAGAAGCAGCCAUCAUUUAAAGAAAGCGUAAUAGCUCACUGGUCGAGUCGGCCUGCGCGGAAGAUGUAACGGGGCUAAACCAUGCACCGAAGCUGCGGCAGCGACACUAUGUGUUGUUGGGUAGGGGAGCGUUCUGUAAGCCUGUGAAGGUGUACUGUGAGGUAUGCUGGAGGUAUCAGAAGUGCGAAUGCUGACAUAAGUAACGAUAAAGCGGGUGAAAAGCCCGCUCGCCGGAAGACCAAGGGUUCCUGUCCAACGUUAAUCGGGGCAGGGUGAGUCGACCCCUAAGGCGAGGCCGAAAGGCGUAGUCGAUGGGAAACAGGUUAAUAUUCCUGUACUUGGUGUUACUGCGAAGGGGGGACGGAGAAGGCUAUGUUGGCCGGGCGACGGUUGUCCCGGUUUAAGCGUGUAGGCUGGUUUUCCAGGCAAAUCCGGAAAAUCAAGGCUGAGGCGUGAUGACGAGGCACUACGGUGCUGAAGCAACAAAUGCCCUGCUUCCAGGAAAAGCCUCUAAGCAUCAGGUAACAUCAAAUCGUACCCCAAACCGACACAGGUGGUCAGGUAGAGAAUACCAAGGCGCUUGAGAGAACUCGGGUGAAGGAACUAGGCAAAAUGGUGCCGUAACUUCGGGAGAAGGCACGCUGAUAUGUAGGUGAAGUCCCUCGCGGAUGGAGCUGAAAUCAGUCGAAGAUACCAGCUGGCUGCAACUGUUUAUUAAAAACACAGCACUGUGCAAACACGAAAGUGGACGUAUACGGUGUGACGCCUGCCCGGUGCCGGAAGGUUAAUUGAUGGGGUUAGCGCAAGCGAAGCUCUUGAUCGAAGCCCCGGUAAACGGCGGCCGUAACUAUAACGGUCCUAAGGUAGCGAAAUUCCUUGUCGGGUAAGUUCCGACCUGCACGAAUGGCGUAAUGAUGGCCAGGCUGUCUCCACCCGAGACUCAGUGAAAUUGAACUCGCUGUGAAGAUGCAGUGUACCCGCGGCAAGACGGAAAGACCCCGUGAACCUUUACUAUAGCUUGACACUGAACAUUGAGCCUUGAUGUGUAGGAUAGGUGGGAGGCUUUGAAGUGUGGACGCCAGUCUGCAUGGAGCCGACCUUGAAAUACCACCCUUUAAUGUUUGAUGUUCUAACGUUGACCCGUGAUCCGGGUUGCGGACAGUGUCUGGUGGGUAGUUUGACUGGGGCGGUCUCCUCCUAAAGAGUAACGGAGGAGCACGAAGGUUGGCUAAUCCUGGUCGGACAUCAGGAGGUUAGUGCAAUGGCAUAAGCCAGCUUGACUGCGAGCGUGACGGCGCGAGCAGGUGCGAAAGCAGGUCAUAGUGAUCCGGUGGUUCUGAAUGGAAGGGCCAUCGCUCAACGGAUAAAAGGUACUCCGGGGAUAACAGGCUGAUACCGCCCAAGAGUUCAUAUCGACGGCGGUGUUUGGCACCUCGAUGUCGGCUCAUCACAUCCUGGGGCUGAAGUAGGUCCCAAGGGUAUGGCUGUUCGCCAUUUAAAGUGGUACGCGAGCUGGGUUUAGAACGUCGUGAGACAGUUCGGUCCCUAUCUGCCGUGGGCGCUGGAGAACUGAGGGGGGCUGCUCCUAGUACGAGAGGACCGGAGUGGACGCAUCACUGGUGUUCGGGUUGUCAUGCCAAUGGCACUGCCCGGUAGCUAAAUGCGGAAGAGAUAAGUGCUGAAAGCAUCUAAGCACGAAACUUGCCCCGAGAUGAGUUCUCCCUGACUCCUUGAGAGUCCUGAAGGAACGUUGAAGACGACGACGUUGAUAGGCCGGGUGUGUAAGCGCAGCGAUGCGUUGAGCUAACCGGUACUAAUGAACCGUGAGGCUUAACCUU
rnacentral:rRNA from 1 species